CCUACGGGAGGCAGCAGUGGGGAAUAUUGCACAAUGGGGGAAACCCUGAUGCAGCGACGCCGCGUGAGUGAAGAAGUAAUUCGUUAUGUAAAGCUCUAUCCACAGGGAAGAAAAUGACGGUACCUGAGUAAGAAGCCCCGGCUAACUACGUGCCAGCAGCCGCGGUAAUACGUAGGGGGCAAGCGUUAUCCGGAUUUACUGGGUGUAAAGGGAGCGUAGACGGCAGUGCAAGUCUGGAGUGAAAGGCUGGGGCUCAACCCCCGGACUGCUCUGGAAACUGUACGGCUGGAGUGCAGGAGAGGUAAGUGGAAUUCCUAGUGUAGCGGUGAAAUGCGUAGAUAUUAGGAGGAACACCAGUGGCGAAGGCGGCUUACUGGACUGUAACUGACGUUGAGGCUCGAAAGCGUGGGGAGCAAACAGGAUUAGAUACCCCAGUAGUC
rnacentral:rRNA from 1 species